rnacentral:rRNA from 1 species
CUACGGGAGGCAGCAGUGGGGAAUAUUGGACAAUGGGCGAAAGCCUGAUCCAGCCAUGCCGCGUGUGUGAAGAAGGCCUUCGGGUUGUAAAGCACUUUCAGUGGGGAAGAAAGCCUUGGGGCUAAUACCCUCGAGGAAGGACAUCACCCACAGAAGAAGCACCGGCUAACUCCGUGCCAGCAGCCGCGGUAAUACGGAGGGUGCGAGCGUUAAUCGGAAUUACUGGGCGUAAAGCGCGCGUAGGCGGUCUGAUAAGCCGGUUGUGAAAGCCCCGGGCUCAACCUGGGAACGGCAUCCGGAACUGUCAGGCUAGAGUGCAGGAGAGGAAGGUAGAAUUCCCGGUGUAGCGGUGAAAUGCGUAGAGAUCGGGAGGAAUACCAGUGGCGAAGGCGGCCUUCUGGACUGACACUGACGCUGAGGUGCGAAAGCGUGGGUAGCAAACAGGAUUAGAUACCCUAGUAGU